rnacentral:ncRNA from 3 species
GACCUCGGAUCAGGUAGGAAUACCCGC